GCGCCGGUGGCCCUCACCGCCGCCCUGCGUGGCCGCAUGGCCGCUCCCCGUGGCCGCCGGUCGGCCCUGCCGCGCAGUCCGCCAUGGAUGCCGCCCCUGCACGCCGUGGCCGUCGUCGCCCUGCGCCAAGAAUAGAGGAGCAGAAGAAGAAGGGAGGGAGGGACGAAAAAAGAGAAGAGGAGGAGCAAGCCGCGCCCCCACACGAUCCCGUGCGUUCCCGCGCGUCUCUGAGCGCCAACGACCGCCCACGACCCCUGCGCUGCGCCCAGGAAGGAGGAAGGAGCCUAGGGAAGAAGAAGGAGCCUAGGGAAGAAGAAGAAGAGGAGGGAGAAGAAGAGGACCGAGCGUAUAACCUGUUCGAGGGAAUGUCUCAGCCAAGCCGCUGCCGUACCUCAAUGUUGAUGACUCAACGCGGCACGGCACGGCGUCGCAUCUCCGCUGAGUCGCCUCUCCGCUGCCUCACGUCGUCGUCGUCCGAGCCCGAACGCCUGAUAGAUGCAGGAUCCGAGCAAAGGAGUCGACAGGACGACUAAGGAAGACAAUGUGAAGGAUGGCCCGAGCUACACUCCGAGCUGCAUGUGGAGAGGAUUCGAGAAGAUGAAGUCUGCCUAGAAGACUAGAUAUCGUUUACACUUUCUGUUUGUAUUCUUUUAGCCCAGGGGGGUUGUACUCUGAGAUUCGUAUCACAAUCCUUUGGAUUAUGUAAUAAAUAAACCCAUGUGAUGUUGUAAACGUGAGUUAUGUCUGUGAUAUUAUAUUGAAAUAAGUUUUGUAUGUGAUAGCUACUGAUUCAGGGACUAUCACAACGAUACUGAGAGUCGGGUUACCCUUUCGGGAACCCGGUCUGUUUCAUUCACCACCAGCUCCUCAAGGUCAAUCUUCGCCACCAGCUCCUCCAGCUCCACCUUUGCCACCAGCUCCUGCUUCCGGACCUGCUCGUCUACCAGUUCAAGCAUCAUCAGCACCUAGGCAAGAAUCACCACGAGCGCACACGGGCUCGACUCCACCACCACAACUUGGCCAGUAUGUACCACAAGUGAUACGGUCUUAUGAGCAGGAAGACUCAGAGAUUGUAAAUUGAUGGCACGCACCAAACACCAAGCAGAGCUCAAAGGAUAAGUCCAAGGAUAAAUCAAAGGAUGUUUCAGAUUCUAGUGUCACUAGAUGACAGGGCUUUUCCUUGCCCCGCACUGACUACGACUUCCAUCAUUAUGUUGGGGUCGAUGACAUAGCAGAUUUUCCUUGUCCGCUAAAAUUUAAAUAUGGUAAGCCAUUUCUACCCGACUCUUUGAUGGAAGGGGUUCCUCCUUUUAUGAAGAGGAUGCAUAGUUGGUACACGAGAGCAUGUAGACUUGGACUCAAAACCAUUUGGGCUUGGUAUGAUCCCGAUAUUUUUGGGUCCAAAACUGAGGGUAUCUUUGAUAUCAUGUUCGAUUUUGAAGAUAUCCAUGACAUGUUCCGCCUCAAACAACUCAACAUAGAAAUGGAUGCAACAACGACAAGCGGAUGUUGUAAAUCGUAUGGUUGCGUUCCUUGACUCAUUCGCUAUUUGUGAGGCAAGGCAUUACAGGCCAAUGUUGUGGAAUGACGACCACGAUGAGCUGAACAAGAUAUUGUAAGAAAAGUUGGUGCAUACAUAUCGCUUCAGAUGCAACGGUGGCAGGACAUGGAUGUCAUAUGGGCACCAUACCACUUCCGGUAUGUGUAAUUUCAAUCAUUUGAUAUAAUAUGCACUUUCUUCGACUAAAUGCCUAUAUGAUAUUUUUGCAAAAAUUACUGGAUUGCAAUUAUGUUAUAGCCAAAGCUCGAAAAAAUGCUUGUAUUUGACUCUGCUGAUUUUGAGAAAAAACAUACGCAGAAUUCCUAUCCAUCCUAAAAAUGGCUUACAAGCACUAUAUUUUCAAAGGAGGAAUUCAUCCCCCAGAUAGACAAGAAGAAAUGGUGAUACACACACACUUUCCAUCCCACAAGAAACCUGCAGGUUCUGUGUACUGUCGAUACUACAUGUGCGAGCACAAGAGGGAGCUCGAUAGAUACACAACAGAUCCCCAACGUGCUUCACGUGAAAAACACCAAGGUCCACUCCAUGAGCGACAACUUCUCAAUGUAGUUGAUGAUUUAUGUCGUUUCAUAUUGCAUGAAGUGGUCCAUAUAGAUAGAUAUUUUGUUCACCCGGAGCAUGAACUGUCAACUGACUCAAAAUAUAGAAGCCUCCGUCAAUGGGAAAAUCAGCAACUCCGAGCCGGCUAUAGUAGCAUUAGUCAGAAGAAAUAGGACAAAACUAUGCAAUUAAUUCUAUGUGCAAUUUUAUGACGAAUGUAUGUACUCUAAUGAUACACUGU